rnacentral:lncRNA from 1 species
AUGAAUGAAAGGUGCUUAAGAGUGCCCGGUAGGCAAGGGCUCUGCCUGGAGAGCUGGAGACCAAGAUGGUGCUCGGAGAAAAGAUGGCAUCUCGUCAGGUCAUUGCUUGCGCUGAGACAUUUCAUCACCAGGCCGUUUUGGCUCCACGCUGUGUUAGUGCUAGCCUGGAACCGGGAUUUACUGCUUCCUCACACCCGGCCACAAACAGAAGCGCUGCUGAAACGCCGCUGCAAAAAGGGGUCAGCGACAGAGUGCUACCAAAAGGAAGCAGCGAGGGAAUUUCUCCCCCUGCUCAGGUUGCAUCUUAGGGUUUGCUCCGUGCUUGGGCCAUAUGUGACCCGUGCCCCAGGGGGAUGGGGGGGACAUCAAAGGGCAGCCUCAGGCGGGGAUGAGCUCACUCGCCUGUGCUUGACCCCUGCUGCAAGGCAGGGGGUGGCAGCUCCGUGUCCACACAUCCCUGCAACGGCUGGGGGGGGUUUGGGGCAGGGAACCCCCUGCCUGCAGCUGCCUGGGCUUUGUGAGAACCUGAUCUGCCUUCCCUUGAGCCUGUGGCUUGCUCUCAGUAAUGCCACUUGGUCCUGCACGGCAGCAGCUCGCAUCAGGGAUGGGGCCAGCGGCUCUGCUGGACGUCCCCGCGUGGAGCUUUGGUGCCCCUGGCUCCAGCAGAUACGAACAGGCUCUGUGGAUCCCCUCAUCUCCUGGAUCUCCAGGAGAGCAGGGACGUGCCAAGCCAUAUGGCUAAUUUGUACAGGUCCUGUCACAAACGAGCACUGAGCUCUGUAAUUGCCAGAGCCGGCCGCAGGAUGAGUGCUGACUGCACCGCCGCUCUCAGGCUUUGCUGUUUGUUUGCUUUCUGAGCAAAACCAAACCUUCGGGUGCUGUCCUGAAGACGUGUGGGUGUGCUGGGCAAAUUCAAAUCCUCUCUGCUUGAAUUAUUUCCCACCUUGAACACGAUGGUGCCCCAUACCCUAACGCACCUGCAGUGCCUCUCUCUCCCCUGUGUCCUCACCUCUCCGGGCUGAGGAAUCCAGCCUGGCGUCUCCCAGGGCUUCCCAGCUCCUCCUGGCUGCCGAGGCAGUGUUGGUUCAGCUCCAAGGCACGGGGAGGUUUUGCCAGCACGCACCCCGUGCUGAGGACCCACCAGGCACACCACAGCAGCCACCUGUUCUCAGGCUUUGCAGGAGACGAGCAAAAUUUCCCAGACUGCUGCCUCCUCCAGGAAUGCUGCCUGUUAAUUAUUAUUAAUGACUCCCUGCGACUUUUACUAUUACCAAUACUAAUUAAUUGGGUUAUUGCUACCAUUUCUCUCGGAGGUGUUUGGGGGUGGCACGUCCAAAAAAACAGGCUCGGCUUUCAAUAUGGAAAAAGGACAAGAGGGAGCUCACUCCGUGCUCUUUGGGGGGCACAAGGCAGCAGAGGUGAGCAGCCCUUAGCCCUGGCACUCCUUAGCUGGUUCUCCUUAACUUAUUCUCCCUGUGUCUGGAUGAGCAGCCAGUCUCUCCAAGCAGUCAGCCAGGAAGCUACCCAAAGGCAAAGGCCAGGAGAAGACAGACAGCAACCUCCACCACGGCACGCCUUUGUCCCCAGAUCCUGGUCUCAUCAUCGCACUCCAUCACGGAGCAGAUAACAAAGCUGCCCAUCACAGCAGAUCUUCCUGGCCCUGGGCUCGGGGUGAGCCGGGCUCCUCUGUGGUGAGACCUGUCAUUAAACGUAUGGCACAGCCCCAAUUUACCAAAAAUAUCCCUGAAGAAUGGAAAAGAGGAGAGGCGCGUGUGCAGGCAUGCUUGCGUGCAUGCGUGUCCACAAAGCCAUUUGCUGUUUAGGUGUCAGAAAUAAAUUUUACCACUGGAGUCUGCA